UGACCUCGGAUCAGGUAGGGAUACCCGCUGAACUUAAGCAUAUCAAUAAGCGGAGGAAAAGAAACCAACAGGGAUUGCCUCAGUAACGGCGAGUGAAGCGGCAAGAGCUCAAAUUUGAAAGCUGGCCCCUUCGGGGUCCGCGUUGUAAUUUGCAGAGGAUGCUUCGGGUGCAGCCCCCGUCUAAGUGCCCUGGAACGGGCCGUCAUAGAGGGUGAGAAUCCCGUCUGGGACGGGGUGUCUGCGUCCGUGUGAAGCUCCUUCGAAGAGUCGAGUUGUUUGGGAAUGCAGCUCUAAAUGGGUGGUAAAUUUCAUCUAAAGCUAAAUACUGGCCGGAGACCGAUAGCGCACAAGUAGAGUGAUCGAAAGAUGAAAAGCACUUUGAAAAGAGAGUUAAACAGCACGUGAAAUUGUUGAAAGGGAAGCGUUUGCGACCAGACUCGCUCGCGGGGUUCAGCCGGCAUUCGUGCCGGUGUACUUCCCCGUGGGCGGGCCAGCGUCGGUUUGGGCGGCCGGUCAAAGGCCCUCGGAAUGUAUCACCUCUCGGGGUUGUCUUAUAGCCGAGGGUGCAAUGCGGCCUGCCCGGACCGAGGAACGCGCUUCGGCUCGGACGCUGGCGUAAUGGUCGUAAAUGACCCGUCUUGAAACACGGACCAAGGAGUCUAACAUCUACGCGAGUGUUCGGGUGUCAAACCCGUACGCGCAGUGAAAGCGAACGGAGGUGGG